UGGGGAAUAUUGCACAAUGGGCGCAAGCCUGAUGCAGCCAUGCCGCGUGUAUGAAGAAGGCCUUCGGGUUGUAAAGUACUUUCAGCGGGGAGGAAGGGAGUAAAGUUAAUACCUUUGCUCAUUGACGUUACCCGCAGAAGAAGCACCGGCUAACUCCGUGCCAGCAGCCGCGGUAAUACGGAGGGUGCAAGCGUUAAUCGGAAAUACUGGGCGUAAAGCGCACGCAGGCGGUUUGUUAAGUCAGAUGUGAAAUCCCCGGGCUCAACCUGGGAACUGCAUCUGAUACUGGCAAGCUUGAGUCUCGUAGAGGGGGGUAGAAUUCCAGGUGUAGCGGUGAAAUGCGUAGAGAUCUGGAGGAAUACCGGUGGCGAAGGCGGCCCCCUGGACGAAGACUGACGCUCAGGUGCGAAAGCGUGGGGAGCAAACAGG
rnacentral:rRNA from 1 species